GGAUUUUGAGUUGGGACAAUUUAUAGCUUGCAACUAUAAGAGAUAUAUUAUAUAUAAAAUCCU
rnacentral:tRNA from 1 species